rnacentral:rRNA from 1 species
GACGAACGCUGGCGGCGUGCUUAACACAUGCAAGUCGAACGGGCCUUGUCCCCUUUUUUUUGGGGGUGGGGUUAGUGGCGAACGGGUGAGUAACACGUGAGUAACCUGCCCCUCACUUCUGGAUAACCGCUUGAAAGGGUGGCUAAUACGGGGUGUUCUGGCCUGCUCGCAUGGGUGGGUUUGGAAAGAUUCGACCGGUUUGGUUGUUUUGGUGGGGGAUGGGCUCGCGGCCUAUCAGCUUGUUGGUGGGGUGAUGGCCUGCCAAGGCUUUGACGGGUAGCGGGCCUGAGGGGGUGGGGGGCCACACGGGGACGGAGACCCGGCCAAACCUCCUCCGGGAGGCAGCAGGGGGAAAUAUUGCAAAAUGGGGGAAAGCGUGAUGCGGCGCCGCCGGGGGGGGGAUGGAGGCCUUCGGGUUGUGAACCUCUUUCGCCAGUGAAGAAGGUCCUGCUUUUUGUGGGGGGGUUGAGGGUAGCUGGGUUAAUGAAGCGCCGGCUAACUACGU